CUCUCUCUCUCUCUGGGAAAUGAUUCCUGGAGUGGCUACAAGGAGCAUGGUGUUGAAAAGGUGUUUGAUGGGAACGUGAACAGUUAUGAGAUAAAAAAAAAACAAUUUCGCGAGUCAUUCAAACGCAAGGCUAAUCAGGUCUAUUCCUAUUGACUUCAUGAUCCAUAUCACCCUCAGGGUGGAGGUGUACGGUGUGAAAUAGCGUACAGUCCCCUCAACUUCUACAAGGAACGACUGAUAUUAUUAUGAAUUGUAGCAGGGACUCAUGAGCCUUUUUUUUGUUUUAAAAACAUUUUUAUUGUUUUUCAAUAUUAUACAAUUAUAUUAUACAAUAUUAUUAGUAUUACAAUAUUAUUAUUAUACAAUAUUAAUAAUAUUAUACAAUAUAACAUAUUACUUACUGAAAAAAGAAAGGACAAUAACAUAAAACAUGAAACAAGA